GGGGAAUAUUGCACAAUGGAGGAAACUCUGAUGCAGCGACGCCGCGUGAAUGAUGAAGGCCUUCGGGUCGUAAAAUUCUGUCCUUGGGGAAGAUAAUGACGGUACCCAAAGAGGAAGCCCCGGCUAACUACGUGCCAGCAGCCGCGGUAAUACGUAGGGGGCGAGCGUUGUCCGGAAUUAUUGGGCGUAAAGGGUUCGCAGGCGGUCUGAUAAGUCAGAUGUGAAAGGCUAUGGCUCAACCAUAGCAAGCAUUUGAAACUGUCAGACUUGAGUUAAGGAGAGGAAAGUGGAAUUCCUAGUGUAGCGGUGAAAUGCGUAGAUAUUAGGAGGAAUACCAGUGGCGAAGGCGACUUUCUGGACUUAUACUGACGCUGAGGAACGAAAGCGUGGGGAGCAAAC
rnacentral:rRNA from 1 species